rfam:Oryza barthii chromosome 3, whole genome shotgun sequence.
AAUAAGUGUAGUUUUAGCACUGUUCAUGUCUGUUUGACCGUUCAUCUUAUUUGAAAAAAAUGUAUAAUUAGUAUUUUUAUUGUUAUUACAUGAUAAAACAUGGGUAGUACUUUAUGUGUGACUAUUUUUUUUAAUUUUUUUCAUAAAUUUUUCAAAUAAGACGAACGGUCAAAACGCUAAAUACGGAUAUCUAUGGCUGCACUUAUU